UGGCUCUGGCAUNGAUGAAGAACGCAGCGAAAUGCGAUAAGUAGUGUGAAUUGCAGAAUUCAGCGAAUCAUCGAAUCUUUGAACGCACAUUGCGCCCUUCGGUUAUUCCUUAGGGCAUGCCUGUUCGAGCGUCAUUUCAACCUUCAAGCCCAGCUUGGUGUUGGGCGCUGUCCCGCCCCCGCGCGAGGACUCGCCCCAAAUGAAUUGGCAGCCGCACCCCGAAAGCCGCGAGCGCAGCAAAGACGCGCGAGCUGGCCUCCGGGGAAGGGCGCUCCACGAGACACAACCACAAGUCUUGACCUCGGAUCAGGUAGGGAUACCCGCUGA
rnacentral:misc_RNA from 1 species